rnacentral:rRNA from 1 species
GAUGAACGCUGGCGGCGUGCCUAAUACAUGCAAGUCGAGCGAACAGACGAGGAGCUUGCUCCUCUGACGUUAGCGGCGGACGGGUGAGUAACACGUGGAUAACCUACCUAUAAGACUGGGAUAACUUCGGGAAACCGGAGCUAAUACCGGAUAAUAUAUUGAACCGCAUGGUUCAAUAGUGAAAGACGGUUUUGCUGUCACUUAUAGAUGGAUCUGCGCCGCAUUAGCUAGUUGGUAAGGUAACGGCUUACCAAGGCAACGAUGCGUAGCCGACCUGAGAGGGUGAUCGGUCACACUGGAACUGAGACACGGUCCAGACUCCUACGGGAGGCAGCAGUAGGGAAUCUUCCGCAAUGGGCGAAAGCCUGACGGAGCAACGCCGCGUGAGUGAUGAAGGUCUUCGGAUCGUAAAACUCUGUUAUUAGGGAAGAACAAAUGUGUAAGUAACUAUGCACGUCUUGACGGUACCUAAUCAGAAAGCCACGGCUAACUACGUG